UACAGAGGGUGCGAGCGUUUAAUCGGAAUUACUGGGCGUAAAGCGUGCGUAGACGGUUGCAUAAGUCGGAUGUGAAAUCCCCGGGCUCAACCUGGGAAUUGCAUUCGAGACUGUGUAGCUGGGGUGCGGAAGAGGGAAGCGGAAUUUCCGGUGUAGCGGUGAAAUGCGUAGAUAUCGGAAGGAACAUCAGUGGCGAAAGCGGCUUCCUGGUCCAGCACCGACGUCAGGCACGAAAGCGUGGGGAGCAAACAGG
rnacentral:rRNA from 1 species